rnacentral:rRNA from 1 species
GAUGAACGCUGGCGGCAUGUCUAAUACAUGCAAGUCGAGCGAACAGACGAGGAGCUUGCUCCUCUGACGUUAGCUGCGGACGGGGGAGUAACACGUGGAUAAACUACCUAUAAGACUGGGAUAACUUCGGGAAACCGGAGCUAAUACCGUAUAAUAUAUUGAACCGCAUGGUUCCAUAUUGAAAGACGGUUUUACUGUCACUUAUAGAUGGAUCCGCGCCGCGUUAGCUAGUGGGUAAGGUAACGGCUUACCAAGGCAACGAUGCGUAGCCGACCUGAGAGGGUGCUCGCCCACACUGGAUCUAAGACCCGGUCCCGACUCCUACGGGAGGCCGCAGCAGGGCAUCUUCCGACAUGGCCGACAGCCUGACGCACGACCCCCCCGCGAGUGAUGUAGGCCUUCGGUUCGUAAAACUCUGUUAUUCGGGCCGAACAAAUGUGUAAGUAACUAUGCACGUCUUGACGCUACCCUAUAAGAAAGGAACGGCUAACUACGAG